AUGCUCACUUUGGCAGCCCACACACUAAAAUUGGAACAGUGCAGAGAAGAUUAACAUAGCCCCUGUGCAAGGAUGGCAAAUUCCUGAAAUGUUCCAUAUUUUU